rnacentral:rRNA from 1 species
UACGGAGGAUGCGAGCGUUAUCCGGAUUUAUUGGGUUUAAAGGGUGCGUAGGCGGUCCGUUAAGUCAGCGGUAAAAUUGCGGGGCUCAACCCCGUCGAGCCGUUGAAACUGGCAGACUUGAGUUGGCGAGAAGUACGCGGAAUGCGCGGUGUAGCGGUGAAAUGCAUAGAUAUCGCGCAGAACUCCGAUUGCGAAGGCAGCGUACCGGCGCCAGACUGACGCUGAGGCACGAAAGCGUGGGGAUCGAACAGGAUUAGAUACCCUGGUAGUCC